GGAUGAGCCCGCGUACCAUUGCUUGUUGGUAGGGUAAUGGCCUACCAAGGCUCGAUGGUUAGCUGGUCUGAGAGGAUGAUCAGCCACACUGGAACUGACACACGGUCCAG
rnacentral:rRNA from 1 species